CCUACGGGGGGCAGCAGUGAGGGAUAUUGGUCAAUGGGGGAAACCCUGAACCAGCAACGCCGCGUGAGGGAAGACGGUUUUCGGAUUGUAAACCUCUGUCCUCUGUGAAGAUGAUGACGGUAGCGGAGGAGGAAGCUCCGGCUAAAUACGUGCCAGCAGCCGCGGUAAUACGUAUGGGGCAAGCGUUAUCCGGAUUUACUGGGUGUAAAGGGAGCGUAGGCGGCCUGGCAAGCCUGAUGUGAAAUACCGGGGCCCAACCCCGGGGCUGCAUUGGGAACUGCCAGGCUGGAGUGCCGGAGAGGCAG
rnacentral:rRNA from 1 species